GGGCACAUGGUGUAGUUGGUUAUCACGCCCGCUUAGCAUUCGUUGCUACGUGCGGGCGGUCCCCGGUUCAAUUCCGGGUGUGUCCA